GACGAACGCUGGCGGCGUGCCUAAUACAUGCAAGUAGAACGCUGAAGGAGGAGCUUGCUCUUCUGGAUGAGUUGCGAACGGGUGAGUAACGCGUAGGUAACCUGCCUGGUAGCGGGGGAUAACUAUUGGAAACGAUAGCUAAUACCGCAUAACAGUAGAUGUUGCAUGACAUUUGCUUAAAAGGUGCAAUUGCACCACUACCAGAUGGACCUGCGUUGUAUUAGCUAGUUGGUGGGGUAACGGCUCACCAAGGCGACGAUACAUAGCCGACCUGAGAGGGUGAUCGGCCACACUGGGACUGAGACACGGCCCAGACUCCUACGGGAGGCAGCAGUAGGGAAUCUUCGGCAAUGGACGGAAGUCUGACCGAGCAACGCCGCGUGAGUGAAGAAGGGUUUCGGAUCGUAAAGCUCUGUUGUAAGAGAAGAACGAGUGUGAGAGUGGAAAGUUCACACUGUGACGGUAGCUUACCAGAAAGGGACGGCUAACUACGUG
rnacentral:rRNA from 1 species